GUCCAGACUCCUACGGGAGGCAGCAGUGGGGAAUAUUGCACAAUGGGCGAAAGCCUGACCCAGCAAUGCCGCGUGAAGGAAGGAGGCUUUCGGGUUGUAAACUUCUUUGACAGGGGAAGAGCAGAAGACGGUACCCUGAAAACAAGCCACGGCUAACUACGUGCCAGCAGCCGCGGCAAUACGUAGGUGGCAAGCGUUAUCCGGAUUUACUGGGUGUAAAGGGCGUGUAGGCGGCAGUGCAAGUCAGAUGUGAAAUCUAUGGGCUCAACCCAUAGCCUGCAUUUGAAACUGUACUUCUUGAGUGCUGGAGAGGCAAUCGGAAUUCCGUGUGUAGCGGUGAAAUGCGUAGAUAUACGGAGGAACACCAGUGGCGAAGGCGGAUUGCUGGACAGUAACUGACGCUGAGGCGCGAAAGCGUGGGGAGCAAACAGGAUUAGAUACCCGUGUA
rnacentral:rRNA from 1 species